AGAGUUUGAUCCUGGCUCAGGACGAACGCUGGCGGCAUGCCUAACACAUGCAAGUCGAACGGAGAUUACUUCGGUAAUCUUAGUGGCGAACGGGUGAGUAACGCGUGGGCAACCUGCCCUCUAGAUGGGGACAACAUCCCGAAAGGGGUGCUAAUACCGAAUGUGACAGCAAUCUCGCAUGAGGAUGCUGUGAAAGAUGGCCUCUAUUUAUAAGCUAUCGCUAGAGGAUGGGCCUGCGUCUGAUUAGCUAGUUGGUGGGGUAACGGCCUACCAAGGCGAUGAUCAGUAGCCGGUCUGAGAGGAUGAACGGCCACAUUGGGACUGAGACACGGCCCAGACUCCUACGGGAGGCAGCAGUGGGGAAUCUUCCGCAAUGGGCGAAAGCCUGACGGAGCAAUGCCGCGUGAGUGAUGAAGGAAUUCGUUCCGUAAAGCUCUUUUGUUUAUGACGAAUGUGCAGGUUGUGAAUAAUGACUUGUAAUGACGGUAGUAAACGAAUAAGCCACGGCUAACUACGUGCCAGCAGCCGCGGUAAUACGUAGGUGGCGAGCGUUGUCCGGAAUUAUUGGGCGUAAAGAGCAUGUAGGCGGUUUUUUAAGUCUGGAGUGAAAAUGCGGGGCUCAACCCCGUAUGGCUCUGGAUACUGGAAGACUUGAGUGCAGGAGAGGAAAGGGGAAUUCCCAGUGUAGCGGUGAAAUGCGUAGAUAUUGGGAGGAACACCAGUGGCGAAGGCGCCUUUCUGGACUGUGUCUGACGCUGAGAUGCGAAAGCCAGGGUAGCGAACGGGAUUAGAUACCCCGGUAGUCCUGGCCGUAAACGAUGGGUACUAGGUGUAGGAGGUAUCGACCCCUUCUGUGCCGGAGUUAACGCAAUAAGUACCCCGCCUGGGGAGUACGUCCGCAAGGAUGAAACUCAAAGGAAUUGACGGGGGCCCGCACAAGCGGUGGAGUAUGUGGUUUAAUUCGACGCAACGCGAAGAACCUUACCAGGUCUUGACAUCAAGUGACCGCCUAAGAGAUUAGGCUUUCCCUUCGGGGACACAAAGACAGGUGGUGCAUGGUUGUCGUCAGCUCGUGUCGUGAGAUGUUGGGU
rnacentral:rRNA from 1 species